UACGAAGGGUGCAAACGUUGCUCGGAAUUAUUGGGCGUAAAGCGCACGUAGGCGGCUUAGCAAGUCGGAUGUGAAAUCCCUCGGCUCAACCAAGGAAGUGCAUCCGAAACUGCUGAGCUUGAGUACGAAAGAGGAUCGCGGAAUUCCCGGUGUAGAGGUGAAAUUCGUAGAUAUCAGGAGGAACACCGAUGGCGAAGGCAGCUCGCUGGGACGUGACUGACGCUGAGACGCGAAAGCGUGGGGAGCAAACAGG
rnacentral:rRNA from 1 species